rnacentral:rRNA from 1 species
AAAUUGAAGAGUUUGAUCAUGGCUCAGAUUGAACGCUGGCGGCAGGCCUAACACAUGCAAGUCGAACGGUAACAGGAAGCAGCUUGCUGCUUUGCUGACGAGUGGCGGACGGGUGAGUAAUGUCUGGGAAACUGCCUGAUGGAGGGGGAUAACUACUGGAAACGGUAGCUAAUACCGCAUAACGUCGCAAGACCAAAGAGGGGGACCUUCGGGCCUCUUGCCAUCGGAUGUGCCCAGAUGGGAUUAGCUAGUAGGUGGGGUAACGGCUCACCUAGGCGACGAUCCCUAGCUGGUCUGAGAGGAUGACCAGCCACACUGGAACUGAGACACGGUCCAGACUCCUACGGGAGGCAGCAGUGGGGAAUAUUGCACAAUGGGCGCAAGCCUGAUGCAGCCAUGCCGCGUGUAUGAAGAAGGCCUUCGGGUUGUAAAGUACUUUCAGCGGGGAGGAA